UACGAAGGGGGCUAGCGUUGCUCGGAAUCACUGGGCGUGAAGGGUGCGUAGGCGGGUCUUUAAGGCAGAGGUGAAAUCCUGGAGCUCAACUCCAGAACUGCCUUUGAUACUGAGGAUCUUGAGUUCGGGAGAGGUGAGUGGAACUGCGAGUGUAGAGGUGAAAUUCGUAGAUAUUCGCAAGAACACCAGUGGCGAAGGCGGCUCACUGGCCCGAUACUGACGCUGAGGCACGAAAGCGUGGGGAGCAAACAGG
rnacentral:rRNA from 1 species